rnacentral:rRNA from 1 species
UUCACACGUCAUACAAUGGUCGGGUACAGAAGGGUUGGCCAAGCCGCGAGGUGGAGCCAAUCCCUUAAACGCCGAUCGUAGUCCGGAUCGUAGUCUGCAACUCGACUACGUGAAGUCGGAAUCGCUAGUAAUCGCAGAUCAGCAUGCUGCGGUGAAUACGUUCCCGGGUCUU